UGGGACGGCAACAGUUCAGCUAAGUCAAAAUGAAAUGGCCGCUGUGUGAUGGCAUUACUUCAGUAAGUAACAAUGAAACCGCUGCUUUGUUAAGUUAAAAUGAAACACCACAGCAUUUGUCAAGUUAAAAUGAAAGGCUUCUGAGUUCUGUGUGCCGGCAUUUGCUAAGUUAAGGCAAACAAAAUGGCUGCUGUGUGAUGCAGUAUAUACAUUGUUAAUUUGCUAAUUGAUGUGGAUAUCCGUUUAUUACGCUCAGUAAUUGGAAUUAGCGCAAAACAUCCGAAGCGACGAAACCGAGAUUUGCAAGAAUAUAUAGACCACACAAAAGACUGGGGACGAGUGAACUCUUGAGAAAG